rnacentral:lncRNA from 1 species
UUGUUUUAUAAUAUAUAUUUUAACUUUAUUUGUAUACUAUAUUUUAUAUAUAACAUAUAUAAUGAUAUAUAUAAAAGGACUGAGAAUGUGAGAAUGCAUCACUUUUCAACGUCUGUUGUAAUCUUAGGACAAAGUAACAGCAAUUUAGACACGUGUGCUGAGUUCCGAAUAAAGUACGUUGGUGCCAUCGAGAAACUGGCUGUGUCUGAGGGGAAGAGCCUCGAAGGACCACUAGACCUGAUAAAUUACAUAGAUGUCGCCCAGGUGAGUGGCAGAACAAAGCUGGGUUCCAACUGAAGCCUCCGGCUGCUAACGUGCAGCCUUCUCUUGGGUUCACUGCAGGGCACUCGAUAUCUUUGGCUAAAGCUGAUCUCAUCCUGAGUCGGCAUGGAGUCACAGAUGGGGCCAGGGGCCCCGGAGAGGGAGACUCAUAGGAAGAAGCCGUUUUUCUCCAGGCAUAGAAUGUUUUACUUUAUGGGGUUGACUGGUAUCCUUGCUUGAUUGAAGAACUGAUUGCACGGACGGCCUAGACUCUGGAUUUUUCUCUAAAGCAAUCUUUCAGAGCCUUAUCGCAUCGAUCUGGUCUCACAAUGUAAAAAACUCACAACAUGGACCAAACAAGCAAGUAAACAAAGAAAAAAAAAAAAACCCAAAACAAAAAACCCUAAAACCAACCAACCAAAAAUCAUCUCUCUCUCACUCCCUCCCUCCCUCCCUCCUUCUCUCUCUCUCUCUCUCUCUCUCUCUCUCUCUCUCUCUCUCUCUCUGUGUGUGUGUGUGUGUGUGUGUGUGUGUGUGUGUCUUUUUCAACACAGGGAUCCUCUAUGUGGCCUGGCUGUCCUGGAACUCAGAGAUCUGCCUGCCUUCUGCCUGAGUCCUGGGAUUGAAGGCGUGUGCCACCACUGCUAGCGUAUCUCCUUUCUUAUACUCCAUUUCCAACAAGAAUUAAGCUGAGGGGCUUUGAAAAAUAUACUCAGAAAAUUACACGGAAAAUUAGUGAAUCUAAUUUGCAGUUUAGCAGAACUUCUGGUAGGGCCUGUUAUCCCAGAUUUAGCUUGGAAUAUGGUCAUUCAAACAAAGUGUAAGUGACAAAUACUGUUGUGCGGAAAGAUGUUCAGAACUCUAUUAGCACUCUCUUCAUUCUGUAAGGAUGGCUAAGUUCAGCCACCAGAGCUUUUGUUUGGUAAAAUGCCAUCGUUGUCAGUAGCACUAUUUUGAUCCUUGUAAUUGUCUUAGAUCUGUGAGCAAUGGUUGGCAGGGUAUUAUUACUCUUAGUAUUAGGAGGGAGGGCCAAG